CUGCCGGCGACCGGCGCACGGGUGAGUAACACGUAUGCAACCUGCCCUCCGCAGGGGGAUAACCCGGAGAAAUCCGGACUAAUACCGCGUGGUACACCAGUGGGGCAUCCCACGGGUGUUAAAAGGAAGCGAUUCCGGCGGAGGAUGGGCAUGCGGCGCAUUAGCUAGUUAGCGGGGUAACGGCCCACCAAGGCGACGAUGCGUAGGGGUUCUGAGAGGAAGGUCCCCCACACUGGUACUGAGACACGGACCAGACUCCUACGGGAGGCAGCAG
rnacentral:rRNA from 1 species